rnacentral:rRNA from 1 species
UGCGCAGGCGGGUUUGUGAGUCAGUGGUGAAAUCCUGCCGCUUAACGGUAGAAUUGCCAUUGAUACUGCGAAUCUUGAGUAUGGUUGAGGUAGGCGGAAUGUGUAGUGUAGCGGUGAAAUGCAUAGAUAUUACACAGAACUCCGAUUGCGAAGGCAGCUUACUAAGCCAUAACUGACGCUGAGGCACGAAAGCGUGGGGAGCGAACAGGAUUAGAUACCCUGGUAGUCC